rnacentral:lncRNA from 1 species
CCCAUGAUAAUGCUACCAUCACUAGAAGAUGAAGCUAGGAAAGUCCCAUAUACUUUAAACUGUAAGAACAUAGCUCCAUUCUUAUGAUUAUUGAAGGCACGUAAUGAAGCAGUAGAAAUUUUUUAUCCUUGCCAGACUAGUCACAUAAUACGAUCAUACGAUGGUAAGCAACAAAAUCCUGAUGACAAAAUCUAAAAUUGGUGGAAAAUCGAGAAUAUGGGCAAAGGAGUUAAGAAAAAAUGGUAUAGACUAGAGACCACUGUAUCGGGGUGCAGCCAUAGAAAAUUUUUGAGGAGAUAGAGAUA